rnacentral:rRNA from 1 species
UACAGGGGGUGCAAACGUUGCUCGGAAUUAUUGGGCGUAAAGCGCACGUAGGCGGCUUUGUAAGUUAGAGGUGAAAGCCCGGGGCUCAACUCCGGAAUUGCCUUUAAGACUGCAUCGCUAGAAUUGUGGAGAGGUAAGUGGAAUUCCGAGUGUAGAGGUGAAAUUCGUAGAUAUUCGGAAGAACACCAGUGGCGAAGGCGACUUACUGGACACAUAUUGACGCUGAGGUGCGAAAGCGUGGGGAGCAAACAGG